UACGGGGGGGGCAAGCGUUGUUCGGAAUUACUGGGCGUAAAGGCUCGUAGGCGGCCAACUAAGUCGGACGUGAAAUCCCUCGGCUUAACCGGGGAACUGCGUCUGAUACUGGAUGGCUUGAGAUUGGGAGAGGGAUGCGGAAUUCCAGGUGUAGCGGUGAAAUGCGUAGAUAUCAGGAGGAACACCGGUGGCGAAGGCGGUUCUCUGGGCCUUACCUGACACUGAGGAGCGAAAGCGUGGGGAGCGAACAGG
rnacentral:rRNA from 1 species